GGAAUGUUUUAGUUAGGAAUCCCCUUGUUUUUAUCAAGGGGUGGUUCUAGUGUUCCUCGAUCCCUUAAGAUUUUU
rnacentral:tRNA from 1 species